rnacentral:ribozyme from 1 species
AUCUUGUAUUUUCUCGUUUAUAGUAUCGCGCUCCUACUCAAAACGUCCCCGACGUACAGAACGGUAACAUGUCUUUCCGCAUAUCUGAGCUUGGGUAUACGGGGAAACCCA